CUUACACAUGCAGUCGAGCGGAGAUGAGGUGCUUGCACCUUAUCUUAGCGGCGGACGGGUGAGUAAUGCUUAGGAAUCUGCCUAUUAGUGGGGGACAACAUUCCGAAAGGAAUGCUAAUACCGCAUACGUCCUACGGGAGAAAGCAGGGGAUCUUCGGACCUUGCGCUAAUAGAUGAGCCUAAGUCGGAUUAGCUAGUUGGUGGGGUAAAGGCCUACCAAGGCGACGAUCUGUAGCGGGUCUGAGAGGAUGAUCAGCCACACUGGGACUGAGACACGGCCCAGACUCCUACGGGAGGCAGCAGUGGGGAAUAUUGGACAAUGGGGGGAACCCUGAUCCAGCCAUGCCGCGUGUGUGAAGAAGGCCUUAUGGUUGUAAAGCACUUUAAGCGAGGAGGAGGCUACUGAGACUAAUACUCUUGGAUAGUGGACGUUACUCGCAGAAUAAGCACCGGCUAACUCUGUGCCAGCAGCCGCGGUAAUACAGAGGGUGCGAGCGUUAAUCGGAUUUACUGGGCGUAAAGCGCGCGUAGGCGGCUUUUUAAGUCGGAUGUGAAAUCCCCGAGCUUAACUUGGGAAUUGCAUUCGAUACUGGGAAGCUAGAGUAUGGGAGAGGAUGGUAGAAUUCCAGGUGUAGCGGUGAAAUGCGUAGAGAUCUGGAGGAAUACCGAUGGCGAAAGCAGCCAUCUGGCCUAAUACUGACGCUGAGGUACGAAAGCAUGGGGAGCAAACAGGAUUAGAUACCCUGGUAGUCCAUGCCGUAAACGAUGUCUACUAGCCGUUGGGGCCUUUGAGGCUUUAGUGGCGCAGCUAACGCGAUAAGUAGACCGCCUGGGGGAGUACGGUCGCA
rnacentral:rRNA from 1 species